GGUGGUGACCUAGUGGGCACUAUAGGGAGCUAUUGUGCCAGGAAUUUUUUUUUUUUUUUUUCCUGGCAGUAUAGUUUCCCUUUAAAUUACUGUUGCUGUGCUUCUUGAUGACUCGUACAAAAAUGCUAUGGGACACUAGUUUUUGGGAGUACAUAAAGAGGGCUGUAUCUGUGUACAAUAGAAGGAAGUGUUUUGGAAUAGAGAAGGC